rnacentral:lncRNA from 1 species
GACAGGAAGGAUGAUGUUUCAUAAAUUAAAUGGAGAACACUGUGGGCAGAACAGAUUCUGGGGAGCAAUAUCAAGAGUUAAGUUUGAAGCAUGUUCAAUUUGAGAUGUCAGUGAAAGAAGGUGGGGAGAGGUCUGAGCCAGAAAUAGAAAUGUAACUGAACUCAAGAAUAUCUCAUUGUAUGACUAUAACAUGUUUUGUUUAUUCAUAUACCUGUUGAUGAAUAUUAGUUGUUUUCAUCUUUGGGGCAUUAUGAAUAAAAUCAAUCAAGUUACAUUCAAUGAAAUGUAGGGAGGUCCAUAUAGCUGGAUUUUUUAGAACAAGGGAGGAAGUAGCGAGAGUUCUUGUUGCAUUGGUCCCUUUACCAUUAUGUAAUGCCUUUCUUUGUCUUUUUAAAUCUUUGUUGGUUUAAAGUCUGUUUUAUCAGAGACUAGGAAUCCAACAUCUGCUUUAUUUUGCUUUCCAUUUGCUUGGUACAUAUUCCCCCAUCCGUUUAUUUUGAGCUUAUGUGUGUCUUUGCAUGUGAGAUGGGUCUCCUGAAUGCAGCACACCAAUGGGU